rnacentral:rRNA from 1 species
GUACACUCCUACGGGAGGCAGCAGUGAGGAAUAUUGGACAAUGGGUGGAAGCCUGAUCCAGCCAUCCCGCGUGCAGGAAGACGGCCCUAUGGGUUGUAAACUGCUUUUAUCUGGGGAUAAACCUACUUACGUGUAAGUAGCUGAAGGUACCAGAAGAAUAAGCACCGGCUAACUCCGUGCCAGCAGCCGCGGUAAUACGGAGGGUGCAAGCGUUAUCCGGAUUUAUUGGGUUUAAAGGGUCCGUAGGCGGACUGAUAAGUCAGUGGUGAAAUCCGACAGCUUAACUGUCGAACUGCCAUUGAUACUGUUAGUCUUGAGUAAGGUUGAAGUGGCUGGAAUAAGUAGUGUAGCGGUGAAAUGCAUAGAUAUUACUUAGAACACCAAUUGCGAAGGCAGGUCACUAAGUCUUAACUGACGCUGAUGGACGAAAGCGUGGGGAGCGAACAGGAUUAGAAACCCCAGUAGUCCAUGAU